GAGGCUGUGAGGGUGGCUUUGUGAGGAUGGCUUUGUGUGGCUGCACAUUGCCCUUGGCCAAGCCCCGCUGCCAGGAGAGGCAGCUCGGCUGCCAAACCUCCUGAACCCAAGUUACCUGAGCAAGCAGCCCUAUCCCCUCGCCUGCUUCUCACUGCCUCGCCUGCCUUGGGCCUGCCCGACCCAGGGGGUCACAUGCCUUGUUCCCCAUCAGUGGAGACCAGGGACAAGAAGACAGUUCUGUGGGAAGAGCCAGGAGGACCAUUUGGGAAAAUACAGGUUCCAGGUGUGUCUCCAGACCUUGAGAGUUGGUGUCUCCUGGGAAGAGGCCCUGAUGAGAUCUGGGGAGAUUCGGAUCUGAUGAGAUUCAGGAAGCCCUGGCCUCUCCGUACUUGAGGAGACGGGACACACAGGACAAGCUGCAGGCUGGUGAGCAGGUUCACCUUCUAUUUUGAAGACCCGCUUCUUCCUCAGGUACCUGAUCUUGAAAACGACCUCCCCUUUCAGUGAAAACCAUUUCCUCCUCGUCGUGGCGCAGGUCCAGAGGCUGCGCCCAUCUCUCCCACGUCAACAGUCCUGUGUCCUUGGCGAAGGACUGUUCUCUCAUUCAGUGCCUUUCCUCUCUUCCUGGGCCAAAUCCCUGCUUUGCGUCUCCCUGCAGCUCAUAAAAAGCUGAAUUACCUGAGGCAGGGAAAGCCCCACCCACUGUCAUUCUCAGGGAGGAGUGGAGUCUGCAGAGGCCGCAAUGCACAGCUUCCCUAUCCCCCUCCACCCGUGUUUUCCCAGAGCAGCUCUGUUCCAGGCCCGGGGGUGUCCCUGGGCCGAGAUGGAAUCCAGCCCUGACCACCUCCCAAAGCCAACAGCCCUGAGUGAGCGUGCAGAGAAGCAAGAGCUGUUCCUGAUGCAGAGCAAAGACAUCUCCCAGUCAAGGGGGAUGAACUGAUUUGGGACAAAAGGCAGUUGUUGGCUGAGGAAGGCAGGAUCUGGGGGAGCCCUGUGCUGAGUGGAGGUGGGUGGGUGUAUUUCCUUGGCUCACAGAGGCCUCUUGUCUGGUGGGAUCAGCUCCUCCAGCCAGUUGCCACCUGGUCCAGCUUUGGGAGAUGUGGAGAAUGACUUUCGCAGUGAUUUCCACUGGGCCAUGGCAUUGAAACAGCUGCAGGAGGGGACACAGCUGGUGCCACCCCUACUCCGUCCAUUAGAGCUGCUGUGAAGGAAUGCCACCCUCCCCAUGGGGAGUGAGGGGGCCCUACUUGCUGUGGUUGGUUCCAGGGACCAUGGGAAGAGGCAAACCCCUAUUUUCAAGGGCACAAGUUGGCUUUUAUUAAAAUAAAAUUUCAUCAUCACU
rnacentral:lncRNA from 1 species